UCAGAAUCGGGGGAGGAAGGUGAGAGAGGAAAGCAGAAUCCAAGAAAAGCCUUCCCUGGGAAGCACAGACGUGGCCUUGGGGCCUGGGGCUGAGAAGCCGGUCAGGAAGGGGCAGGCGGACACGGGGCCUCGGGGCCUGGGGCUGAGAAGCCGGUCAGGAAGGGGCAGGCAGACACUGCCUCUGCUGGUUGUGGGUUCAGGGCUGACGUGGCUGUGACGCACUCUGCUCAGGGUUCAGCGGGUCCUGGGUGCAGUGGUGGAGCUGUCACUGCUCACAUCCUCAUGGAACCACGUGCCAGUGACGGGGAUAGAUUUGCAGCCAGCAGCACAGCCAGACACGAGGGGCUGAGGAGGAGUCAGCAGACCAUGUAUUUGUUGUUGUUCUAAGAAACCUUUUCACUCGUCCUGCUUUGGUGACAUUCUCUCUUGAGGUGAAGCUUUAGGAAAACAGGGUCCAAGAUGGACAAACAGGAUGCUUUACGGAAUGGUCAGUGUUUUUCCAGCAUGGCCCCACCCCUGCUGGGAUGGUCCGCGGCCAUUGUGAAAAACAAGUGAGUUGGAAACUCACCCAGUUCCCAGUCAGCCCAGAGUCAGGGAAUAAAUGGACAACCAGAGAGAGCCAGAGUCGCUACAGCCAGCCUGGCAGUGCAAGCCCGGAGCUGACACAGGGCCACAGCCACGAUGCAGCCACUAAUGCGGACCCUUGGGCUGAGCCUGCUUUCCAUGCUGUGAGCCCAGGGGACCCAGAUGGUUCCUGUCCCCGCUGAGAAGGUGGAAGGACUGUGGCACGCCCUGCGCUGGGAGCAGGACAGGGAGCUACUUAAAGAGGAGACGGCUCACCCUCUGCCACCAUUCUGGAUCCAGCGUUUCCAGGGUAACUUUAUGUUAAAAAUGAAUGUAAGGGAUCCCACUGGGAACUGCACAGUAUUUAAGACACUGCUGGUGAAAACAGACAACUCUACCACGUACAGAAUCUGUGAGUAGCUGCCAGGCAGCAGAGCCACAGUCCCAGCAGCUCCCACACUCCAGCAUCUGGCCACCAGCCCUGGGGGCACGCGGACACCCAUCCAGCAGCUCCUGGCAGGCUGUGCUGACUCACCUCCGCCAGCCUCCAGGGCAGGCACUCAGCCCUCCUGGGGUCCUGUGCCCUCCGCCUGAUCCCCACUUAUUACACAGGGAAAGAAGGACUCAGCCCAUCCCUGGGUCCCAUGGACAGCAUUUCCUGGGCCCGUGGUCCCUCCCUGGCAUUUUGGAGUCAUUUACAAGGCACGUUCUCCUCGCCGGGCCCUGGCAGAGUCCAGUGGCCUCUGUGGCAUCCCGGAAGCUGUGUUUUCAUCAGCCCUGCAGAGAAGCUGUCCAAGGCCAGCAUCUGACCCCUCUGACCUCCGUCAGCCAGAGCGGAGGAAGCAGCAUCUGGGGGGGACUCUCACCGGCCUGGAGAUGCACUUGGGGCUCACCCACUCACUGCCACCAUCCUGCCUCCCCGAGUGCUCUCAGCUUCUGACUCGGGGCCCCUCCCAUUUCCUAUAGAGGGACAGAAAUUAUUAGCAUUUCAGACUCAUAGACUCAACUUAAAAAGGGCGCAACCACCCAGCUCACAAGAGCACAUCCUCCGCCCCUCCCAGCGGGGGAGCAGGAGGUCUGCAUCUGUCCGUGGAGACGGACCACUACUACAUCAUGAACACCCGGGAUGAGAGGAGGGACCCGGCCGUGCACACAAUGAACCUGACAGAUUCCUGCGUGGUCGGCUGUAACUGAGGUGAGUGCCACAAGGCCUCUGCGUGUGUUCAGAGUGUCCACACCAGACUCCGGCCGGACUCAUGGGCCCUGGGACUCCGCAGCCCUCGACCUUGGCAGCCUCCUUGCCUGUGGGUGCUUGAAUGCCACGCAGCAUCCGACACAUCCCACAACCUUGAGUCUGCUAUGAGUCAAGUGUGGUCGCUGUAGAUAAGGAGGAAAAAAGAUCAUGAAAAAGAACAACAACAACAAAAAAUCACUCAUGGCCGGGCGCGGUGGCUCAUGCCUGUAAUCCCAGCACUUUGGGAGGCCAAGGCAGGCAGAACACGAGGUCAAGAGAUCAAAACCAUCCUGGCUAACACGGUGAAACCCUGUCUCUACUAAAAAUACAAAAUAUUAGUCAGGUGUGGCGGCAGGCGCCUAUAAUCCCAGCUACUCGGGAGGCUGAGGCAGGAGAAUGGCGUGAACCCAGGAGGUGGAGCUUGCAGUGAGCCGAGAUCGCGCCACUGCACUCCAGCCUGGGCAACAGAGCAAGACUCCAUUUCAAAAACAAACAAACAAAAAUCACUCCUAAGCUCACCACCCAGGCCAAUGUACUCCAGAAAAAGGGAGAAGGCUUCACCACCUCCCUGUGUGAUUUCAUGUCCCAAGCUCUGUGUCUCAGGGUGUAGGAAGCCCUCUGUUGAAUAAGUCCACCCUCCCUGGCCACAGCCUUAGUCCUACUUGCUGUUUGGGAACAGAAGAUCCCUGCCCGGUGCCUACAGAGGGGUGGGCAGAGGCUGAAACCCUCCUCCAUCUUCCCUCCCAGGCCCCAGGAGCCGAAGAUUCCUCUUCUCACGACAUGAAGCUCCCCUCCCCUCCUCCAGUCCUCAGCUUUCCUUUCUAAGAGAGAAGAGACCGGGGCCUGGGCAGUGAGUGGACAGGACUGUCCCCCUGUCCUCCUCUGUAGGUGCACGCCCCUACAGGUGACACCUCUGGGUCCUCCACACCCUCAGUAGGAGCUCCAGGGCAUGGCUGGUCUCCCAGCCACACGGGAAGCCACAGGAUCCCCAUGGGACAUCCCCAGCCACGUGCCACACUCAGUAACCACCCGUGGGCUUGUGUGCAAAUCCCUGAAGUCAGUGAUGGCUCAAAUGUCGUCUCUGCCACCGUGGAGGUUGGCCAUGGGGGAAAGGUGACGGGGGCAGAAGGGUGAGGGCUCCAAGUGGCUCGAGGAAGGGGCCAUGGUGUGAGCAGGGGCACGGGCGGGCAGUCAAGGAGCUGGGAAGGGCCAGCCAGUCCUGCCCUGGAGCCUCCGGGAGGAGCCAGCGCUGCGGACACCUUGGCUGUAGCCAGGGAGGCUCACUUUGGACUUCCAACCUCCACACCUGUCAGAGGCCACGAGUGUUUAGCCAUUAAAGAAACCUCCAGGGGCUGCGGUGACAAAUGACCACAGACUCAGGAGCUGAACACAACGCACAUGCAUUGUCUCACAAUUCUGGAGUCAAAAGUCUAGAAACAGUCGGUGGGGCUGGUUCCUUCUGGAGACUUCUGGGAAGGGGAGAAGCCGCUUUCUUGGCUUUCCCAGUUUCUGGAGUGGCUGCAUCCUGCACUCUCGGCCCCGCCAUGCCACCAAGGCCUCCGUUUCUGUAGCCUCUGCUGCUCUCUGGCAUCUGCACGGUUGCCCCGAAGCCGCUCCGCGACGGCCCUCCCUGAGCUGUGUAGCGCUGGGGGGAGGAGGCGUGGCCACAGUGGGCUGCAUUCAGGAUCUUGAAAGCCACUGAAGCCAUGGCUGGCUCUCAGUCCUCAGGGAGCCUCUUCCCCUGCCUGGCACCAGGCUCCCAGAAUCUGGGAGGCAGCCUCUUCAUCUGGCUGCUGGUGGAGACCUGAGCCCAGCCCCAGGGUCCUCAGUCCUGCCCCUUGUCCUCCGCAAGCUCUCACUACAUCCUACCUAUGUCCAGGGACCUCGGCCCAUGCAUCUGCCCAGAUCCCAGCCUACCCGAGAGCAUGCAUCCCCAACUGGACCAGCACCCAACACAGCCCAGGGCUCCCCUGACCCACAUAAACCUUGUUAAUAUUGCCUCUGUGGUCUCUGCUUGUUGCCUGAGGGGUGGAGGUGGGGGGUAUCUGCUCAGACUGGCUCCAGCGCGUCCUAAGGCCAGGCCCUUCCCAAAGGAGAGUGAAGCCAGGCCCCAUGAGUCCCAGCUGGACAGGAAG
rnacentral:lncRNA from 10 species